AUGGCUGCACACCCGCACCUGAGACGCGAGCUCCGCCCACGAACGUCGCGUCUCCCACUGCCAAGGCCGCCGCCCUGCAUCCAGACACCCCCAAGACCAGCCAAAGUCACCGGCUUUGGCCCAAAGGACGCACCCGACCGCCAAACCGCAGCAUACGUCCCGCCUCGAACAACGCCGGAGCUACAUCGGCCCGCACUCGGCCGGGGAAAGGGGGAGGAGGGGGACCAGACGCAUCCGGACCGGCACACCCCUGUGCCGAUGACGGGUGGCCCGAACUCUCGUCGGCGCCUCCCAUCCCUCCAGCCUACCUCCCCACCGGACACCCCCUGUGUCGCCCCACCUCGGCAGCCGGCGCAGCUCCACGCGAGGCCACCAACACACACCCGUCCGCCGGCAAGGAAAACCCCAAGGUCCGCUGCCGACCACCAAGAAAGCUCACCGGGGAGCCCAUCCGCGCUGCCCGCCGCCGCCCAACCACCGGAGCACCUGGAGCCGGCGAGCCCGCCCAUCGACCUGCCGCUGCUGCAGCCCGUGCCGCCCUCGGCCCGCGUCGCCCGGCCCCAGAUCCAGCCGCGCCCGUCAGAUCUGGCCGCGCCGUCGCCGAUCUCGGAGAGCCGAGCACGCACCAACACCUGGCCGCCCGCCGAGGGGGAGCAGAGGCACCGGAGCUCCGCCUCUGCCCGCUGCACCGCCGUGUCGCCCGGCACAGCUCCACGCUCCGACCCGAGGCGCCGGCCCGCGCCAGCACCGCCCGAGCAGGAGGACCACGAGGCCCCGCCGCCGCCGGCGACGGCUGGGCUUUGCCCAGCCGCGCCCACGGGCGGCGGCGAGGGAGGGGAGGGGAGAGGGGGCGGAGACCGGCGGGAUUUAGGGUUGCCCCCCGGUCGCCUCGCGGGAGCGACACGGGGGGAGGGGGAGGGGGCUCUCUCCGAGUAG
rnacentral:rRNA from 1 species